rnacentral:rRNA from 1 species
AGAGUUUGAUCCUGGCUCAGGAUGAACGCUGGCGGCGUGUCUAAGGCAUGCAAGUUGAAUGCCGCAUUUCGGUGCGGCAUAGCAAACGGGAGAGUAACACAUUGGUAAUCUACCCUGAAGACGAGGAUAACCCAGAGAAAUUUAGGAUAAUACUCGAUGGUAGUGGGAGAUCGCAAGACAUUCCCACUUAAAGCUCCGGCGCUUCAGAAAGAACCUAUGUCCUAUCAGCUAGUUGGUGUGGGUAAUAGCCCACCAAGGCUACGACGGGUAGCGGGUGUGAGAGCACGAACCGCCUCACUGGGACUGAGACACUGCCCAGACUCCUACGGGAGGCUGCAGUCAAAAAUCUUCCUCAAUGGCCGAAAGGCUGAAGGAGCGACGCCGCGUGCAUGAAGAAGCCCCUUGGGGUGUAAAAUGCUUUUAUUAGGGACGAAACAAUGACGGUACCUAAUGAAUAAGGGGUUGCUAAACUCAUGCCAGCAGCAGCGGUAAUACGAGUACCCCUAGCGUUAUCCGGAUUUAUUGGGCGUAAAGGGUCCGCAGGUUAUUUAGUACAUCUUCUGUUAAAUCUAUUGGCUCAACCAGUAGACCGCGAAAGAGAUGGCCAGACUAGAGGCCGGGAGAGGUAAGCGGAAUUGCUGGUGUAGGGGUUAAAUCCGUUAAUAUCAGCAGGAACACCAAAUGCGAAGGCAGCUUACUAGAACGCGCCUGACACUCAUGGACGAAAGCGUGGGGAGCGAAGGGGAUUAGAUACCCCCGUAGUCCACGCCGUAAACGAUGGAUGCUAAACAUUGGAAGUAUCGACCCUUUCAGUGUUGUCUACUUAAGCUAACGCCUUAAGCAUCCCGCCUGGGGAGUACGAGCGCAAGCUUAAAACUCAAAGGAAUAGACGGGGACCCGCACAAGCGGUGGAGUAUGUGGUUUAAUUCGAUGAUAAGCGAGAAACCUCACCCAGACUUGAAAUUUAGCUGCAGAAUCCGAGAAAUCAGAUAGCCUUCGAGAAUGCUAAACAGGUGCUGCAUGGUUGUCGUCAGCUCGUGUCGUGAGAUGUACCGUUAAGUCGGGAAACGAGCGCAACCCCUAUCUUAUGUUUUACAUGUCAUAAGAAACUGCCCGCUUUAAGUGGGAGGAAGGUGAGGACGACGUCAAAUCAGCAUGGUCCUUACGUCUGAGACUACACACGUACUACAAUGGUUACUACAAUGGGACGCCAAACCGCGAGGGGGAGCAAAUCCCCCAAAAGUAAUCUCAGUUCGGAUGGAAAUCUGCAACUGGACUCCAGGAAGUCGGAAUCGCUAGUAAACGGGUAUCAAAAGGGCACGUGGAAUACGUUCUCGGGCCUUGCACACACCG